ACAUGCCUACAACAUAGAAUUAAUGCAUCGGAUCCCAUUAGAACUCUGUAGUUAAGCACGCUCAGGCUAGAGUAGUACUGGGAUGGGUGACCGCCCAGGAAGUACUAGUAUUUUACAUGCC
rnacentral:rRNA from 1 species